rnacentral:lncRNA from 1 species
GGCCGCGUAUUCCAUUUUUAUUUCAAUUUGAUACCUCAUUGCGCAACGUUUUGGAAGGGAAGGAAUUAUUUCCUUUUUAGUCCCCCAUUGUCGCUCGCGUGUUCGAAUUGAUCCCUUUUUUAUUAUUUUUGAAUUUACCCCCAUUUUUUUUUUGUCUUUUGUACAAUUUGUUUUUUUACUUUAUUUGGGUUUUUUUUAGUUUUUUAAAUAUAC